AAACCUCUCAGCAAUACUUUAUUGUUGGUUAUGGGCUGCGGAGGAAUUGGCUUUUAACGGCCAGCUCCCGCCUUAAACUUGCUGCACGACCGUAAGCUUAUGCUAGGUUAUUGGAGUGGUGUUUACAUUAUAUUCCAGCAAUCCUCUCAUAGCUUGAUGGCGUUAAAUCUGAUAGUUGCUUAACUGCAACCGACG
rnacentral:misc_RNA from 1 species